rfam:Agrilus planipennis Contig17008, whole genome shotgun sequence.
GUGCCUUAAACUACUGAGUAAGGAAAAUAUACAUGCCUUGGUAACGCUCGGCGUACAUACUAGUUUCACUAGUCCUUAAUUUUUGAAGGGGCAAAGGUCGUCCCGUGGAUAGCUGCCUACUUUUGCAGCAGUCCUGGUGAAGCGAUCUACCCC